UUCAUGAUGAGCUGGCAAGUAUCUAGACA
rnacentral:piRNA from 1 species